rnacentral:rRNA from 1 species
AGUGAACGCUGGCGGCGUGCCUAAUACAUGCAAGUCGAACGGAGUGGCGCACGGGUGUGUAAUAUAUAGCUAAUCUGCCCCUUGCUGGAGGACAACAGUUAGAAAUGAAUGCUAAUACUCCAUAGCAAGGGAUGUGACGAUAUCGUAUCAGCUAGUCGGUGGGGUAACGGCCUACCGAGGCUAUGACGCGUAACUGGUCUGAGAGGAUGAUCAGUCACAUUGGAACUGAGGCACGGUCCGGGCACCUACGGGAGGCAGCAGUAGGGGAUAUUGCGCAAUGGGGGAAGCCCUGACGCGGCAUCGGCGCGUGGAGGAUGUUAAUUUUCGGGGCGUAAACUCCUUUUGUUAGGGAAGCGGUACCUACCGAAUAAGCACCGGCUAACUCCGUGCCAGCAGCCGCGGUAAUUC